GACGAACGCUGUUCGGCGUGCUUAACACAUGCAAGUCGAACGGAAAGGCCCUGCUUUUGUGGGGUGCUCGAGUGGCGAACGGGUGAGUAACACGUGAGUAACCUGCCCUUGACUUUGGGAUAACUUCAGGAAACUGGGGCUAAUACCGGAUAGGAGCUCCUGCUGCAUGGUGGGGGUUGGAAAGUUUCGGCGGUUGGGGAUGGACUCGCGGCUUAUCAGCUUGUUGGUGGGGUAGUGGCUUACCAAGGCUUUGACGGGUAGCCGGCCUGAGAGGGUGACCGGCCACAUUGGGACUGAGAUACGGCCCAGACUCCUACGGGAGGCAGCAGUGGGGAAUAUUGCACAAUGGGCGGAAGCCUGAUGCAGCAACGCCGCGUGCGGGAUGACGGCCUUCGGGUUGUAAACCGCUUUCGCCUGUGACGAAGCGUGAGUGACGGUAAUGGGUAAAGAAGCACCGGCUAACUACGUGCCAGCAGCCGCGGUGAUACGUAGGGCGCGAGCGUUGUCCGGAUUUAUUGGGCGUAAAGGGCUCGUAGGUGGUUGAUCGCGUCGGAAGUGUAAUCUUGGGGCUUAACCCUGAGCGUGCUUUCGAUACGGGUUGACUUGAGGAAGGUAGGGGAGAAUGGAAUUCCUGGUGGAGCGGUGGAAUGCGCAGAUAUCAGGAGGAACACCAGUGGCGAAGGCGGUUCUCUGGGCCUUUCCUGACGCUGAGGAGCGAAAGCGUGGGGAGCGAACAGGCUUAGAUACCCUGGUAGUCCACGCUGUAAACGGUGGGUACUAGGUGUGGGGUCCAUUCCACGGGUUCCGUGCCGUAGCUAACGCUUUAAGUACCCCGCCUGGGGAGUACGGCCGCAAGGCUAAAACUCAAAGGAAUUGACGGGGCCCCGCACAAGCGGCGGAGCAUGCGGAUUAAUUCGAUGCAACGCGUAGAACCUUACCUGGGUUUGACAUGGAUCGGGAGUGCUCAGAGAUGGGUGUGCCUCUUUUGGGGUCGGUUCACAGGUGGUGCAUGGCUGUCGUCAGCUCGUGUCGUGAGAUGUUGGGUUAAGUCCCGCAACGAGCGCAACCCUUGUUCACUGUUGCCAGCACGUUAUGGUGGGGACUCAGUGGAGACCGCCGGGGUCAACUCGGAGGAAGGUGGGGAUGACGUCAAGCCAUCAUGCCCCUUAUGUCCAGGGCUUCACGCAUGCUACAAUGGCUGGUACAGAGAGUGGCGAGCCUGUGAGGGUGAGCGAAUCUCGGAAAGCCGGUCUCAGUUCGGAUUGGGGUCUGCAACUCGACCUCAUGAAGUCGGAGUCGCUAGUAAUCGCAGAUCAGCAACGCUGCGGUGAAUACGUUCCCGGGGCU
rnacentral:rRNA from 1 species